rnacentral:rRNA from 1 species
GAUGAACGCUGGCGGCGUGCCUAAUACAUGCAAGUCGAGCGAACGGACGAGAAGCUUGCUUCUCUGAUGUUAGCGGCGGACGGGUGAGUAACACAUGGAUAACCUACCUAUAAGACUGGGAUAACUUCGGGAAACCGGAGCUAAUACCGGAUGAUAUUUUGAACCGCAUGGUUCAAAAGUGAAAGACGGUCUUGCUGUCACUUAUAGAUGGAUCCGCGCUGCAUUAGCUAGUUGGUAAGGUAACGGCUUAUCAAGGCAACGAUGCAUAGCCGACCUGAGAGGGUGAUCGGCCACACUGGAACUGAGACACGGUCCAGACUCCUACGGGAGGCAGCAGUAGGGAAUCUUCCGCAAUGGGCGAAAGCCUGACGGGGCAACGCCGCGUGAGUGAUGAAGGUCUUCGGAUCGUAAAACUCUGUUAUUAGGGAAGAACAUAUGUGUAAGUAACUGUGCACAUCUUGACGGUACCUAAUCAGAAAGCCACGGCUAACUACGUG